GACGAACGCUGGCGGCGUGCUUAACACAUGCAAGUCGAACGGAAAGGCCUGCUUUCCCUUGUGGAUUGCGGGUACUCGAGUGGCGAACGGGUGAGUAACACGUGAGUGAUCUGCCCCCAACUUGGGUAUAAGCCUGGGAGACUGGGUCUAAUUCCCGAUAGGACUGCAGGGUGGUGCCUGUGGUGGAAAACGAUUUUCUAGUGGUUGGGGAUGAGCUCGCGGCCUAUCAGCUUGUUGGUGGGGUAAUGGCCUACCAAGGCGGCGACGGGUAGCCGGCCUGAGAGGGUGGACGGCCACAUUGGGACUGAGAUACGGCCCAGACUCCUACGGGAGGCAGCAGUGGGGAAUAUUACACAAUGGGCGGAAGCCUGAUGCAGCGACGCCGCGUGGGGGAUGACGGCCUUCGGGUUGUAAACUCCUUUCGACCGCGAGGAAGCCACCUGGUUGGAAGGGUGGUGACGGUAGUGGUAGAAGAAGCACCGGCUAACUACGUG
rnacentral:rRNA from 1 species